UACGGGGGGAGCAAGCGUUGUUCGGAUUUACUGGGCGUAAAGGGCGCGUAGGCGGCGUGACAAGUCACUUGUGAAAUCUCCGGGCUUAACUCGGAACGGUCAAGUGAUACUGUCGGACUAGAGUGCAGAAGGGGCAACUGGAAUUCUCGGUGUAGCGGUGAAAUGCGUAGAUAUCGAGAGGAACACCUGGCGGCAAGGCGGGUUGCUGGGCUGAUACUGACGCUGAGGCGCGAAAGCCAGGGGAGCGAACGG
rnacentral:rRNA from 1 species